AGUGAACGCUGGCGGUAGGCCUAACACAUGCAAGUCGAACGGCAGCACAGUAAGAGCUUGCUCUUACGGGUGGCGAGUGGCGGACGGGUGAGGAAUACAUCGGAAUCUACUUUUUCGUGGGGGAUAACGUAGGGAAACUUACGCUAAUACCGCAUACGACCUACGGGUGAAAGCAGGGGAUCUUCGGACCUUGCGCGAUUGAAUGAGCCGAUGUCGGAUUAGCUAGUUGGCGGGGUAAAGGCCCACCAAGGCGACGAUCCGUAGCUGGUCUGAGAGGAUGAUGAGCCAGACUGGAACUGAGACACGGUCCAGGCUCCUACGGGAGGCAGCAGUGGGGAAUAUUGGACAAUGGGCGCAAGCCUGAUCCAGCCAUACCGCGGGGGUGAAGAAGGCCUUCGGGUUGUAAAGCCCUUUUGUUGGGAAAGAAAAGCAGCAGGUUAAUACCCCGCUGUUCUGACGGUACCCAAAGAAUAAGCACCGGCUAACUUCGUG
rnacentral:rRNA from 1 species